GACAGAGGCCUCGAGCGUUAGGCGGAAUCACUGGGCUUAAAGCGUGUGUAGGCGGACCUCUAAGUACCUUGUGAAAUCCCACGGCUCACCCGUGGAACCGCUGGGUAUACUGGGGGUCUUGGGCCAUUCAGGGGCGACUGGAACAAGCGGUGGAGCGGUGAAAUGCGUAGAUAUCGCUUGGAACGCCGACGGUGAAAACAGCUCGCUGGGGAUCUGCUGACGCUGAGACGCGAAAGCCAGGGGAGCAAACGGG
rnacentral:rRNA from 1 species